rnacentral:ncRNA from 1 species
CGGUAUUGAAGCCCAGGCGGAGAAGGGCCGCAAACCCAAGUGAUGGUCAAAUUCAUUGAUGAUGAAAAACAAAAAUAUGGGAUCGAGCUGAUUUGCAGGAUACUGCCAAUUGCCCCA